rnacentral:rRNA from 1 species
UACAGAGGGUGCGAGCGUUGUCCGGAAUCACUGGGCGUAAAGGGCGCGUAGGUGGCGCUGCAAGUCGGUGGUGAAAGCUCGUCGCUUAACGACGAGUCGGCCAUCGAAACUGCGGGGCUGGAGCACUGUAGGGGCAGAUGGAAUUCCGGGUGUAGCGGUGGAAUGCGUAGAGAUCCGGAAGAACACCGGUGGCGAAGGCGGUCUGCUGGGCAGUAGCUGACACUGAGGAGCGAAAGCGUGGGGAGCGAACAGG